UGGAUUUUCAUCCAAAUGAGAUGAGAAGGAGCAUCUCAAGGGGUUUUCCCUUUCAUAAAAUUCAUAUUCAAAUGCAAAAUUCCCCAGACGAAGUUCCCAUGGAAAGUUUCCAGGAAAUUUUCUGCUCGAUUGUAACCCUAGUAGAAGCUCAUGCAAAUGUAAAAACAGACAGGCUGCGUGACAUCCUUAUACUUAAAAACCAUAAACAAAAUUACAAAACCACUUCCCAUUAAAUUCCUGCAUCUAUACAUCUCCAUCAGAAGACAAAAUUCAUACAAGCACAAGACUCACUGCAGAGGAACCAGUGUCCAGCGAGGAGCAUCUCAGCUGAGCACGAAACGAAAAAGAAAACCAUCAAGAUCAUUUAGUACACUUACAGUAGAACAAGAAGAAAUGAACAUACAAAUACCAACACCAGCAGUAGCAGUGACUGGGGUCUCCGUUCAGCCUGCUGUAUCGGUGGUUCAGCCCGCUGUAACGUAUGUUCAGCCCGCAGUAUCGGUGGUUCAGCCUGCUGUGAUCAUGAGUCCAAUGCCAGUGGUUGCUGCAGUACCAGAUUACUUGGGCUACUCCAUCUUUACCAUGCUGUGCUGCUGUUUACCUCUGGGCAUCGUUGCUACCAUCUUCUCAUGCAACGUAAGUCUUCAUUCUGACUCGAGAUGCUAACUUGUCUGGACAGCGAGAGUUAGCGAUGAGCAGCUCCAGAGUGGCAUUUAUCCUGAACAAUUUGGCUCUCGGUAUCGGCCUCACAGUCAUAACAGUGGUCAUUAUCAUUAAAUUAGUUCCUUGAACAACAUCGUUGAACAGAUGUUUUAUUCUGCAAAUGCAUCUAUUCAUACUGUAAAUGAUACUGUCAACUCAAAUCAAUGAUUUUUUGGAAGAAAUUAAAAAUAUUUUCCAGACCCUCUGAAGGGAAUGAUCUAAUGUACGCUUAUGUUUUAUUUCUUUUUGUAUGUAAUGCUGGCAGACUGAUAUGUUUGAUUAGCAGAAAUUAAAUGCUUUACUGCUUUUCUUUACUGCUAACAUCUAAAGACUCAUCUUUUUCGCCAGCACCAACUAAUACUAGCACUUACCUUUUCUUUUCUUGUCUAUCCUAUUCUUGGAAAAAAAAAAAAAAAAAAACCUUGCUAUGAGUUCUGUGCUAGACUAACUGAGACUUGUCAUGGCACUUGUAUACUGUUGUUGUUCUCUCGUUGGUCUUAUUGGUUCUAUUGUUCUCAAUUAUAAGUCGCUUUGGAUAAAAGCAUCUGCUAAAUGAUUAAAUGUAUGUAAAUGUUUUCACUUAAAGCCGAUUUAAAAUGUUAUUUUUUUUUUUUUUUGGUAAAUUACACAUUAAAAUACAGCAUUGCACUAAAUACAUUAAUCGUUCUGGUCAUCUAUAGAGGAUUUCUCACUGGAGGAACAUUUUCAUAGUUCCUAGAACUAGAACUAUUGGCGGAAAAAUUCUCACUUUUUGGCGUGUUAGAACUGCAGGAACUAGGAACUUAUUGUUCUAGGAUCUCCGUUUGGGGGAAUUAAAUAGGGGUUAUGUGCAACGGACUUCUGCAUUCUGUUAAAUAGGUCUCACCACUUCUGGUUCAAGUAUUUUGCAUAUGCUUCAUUAAAUAUGAAGUUGUUUUACUCAAGAUUCCUUCAAAAGUAGAUACAAAUAAAAAAAAUUUUAUGCAGUUAUUUAAAGACCA
ensembl:lncRNA